GUAACAUUUCUAGCUUGCUAGAAGAUGACGAGUGGCGGACGGGUGAGUAAUGCUUGGGAACUUGCCUUUGCGAGGGGGAUAACAGUUGGAAACGACUGCUAAUACCGCAUAAUGUCUUCGGACCAAACGGGGCUUAGGCUCCGGCGCAAAGAGAGGCCCAAGUGAGAUUAGCUAGUUGGUAAGGUAACGGCUUACCAAGGCGACGAUCUCUAGCUGUUCUGAGAGGAAGAUCAGCCACACUGGGACUGAGACACGGCCCAGACUCCUACGGGAGGCAGCAGUGGGGAAUAUUGCACAAUGGGGGAAACCCUGAUGCAGCCAUGCCGCGUGUGUGAAGAAGGCCUUCGGGUUGUAAAGCACUUUCAGUUGUGAGGAAAAGUUAGUAGUUAAUACCUGCUAGCCGUGACGUUAACAACAGAAGAAGCACCGGCUAACUCCGUGCCAGCAGCCGCGGUAAUACGGAGGGUGCGAGCGUUAAUCGGAAUUACUGGGCGUAAAGCGCACGCAGGCGGUUUGUUAAGCUAGAUGUGAAAGCCCCGGGCUCAACCUGGGAUGGUCAUUUAGAACUGGCAGACUAGAGUCUUGGAGAGGGGAGUGGAAUUCCAGGUGUAGCGGUGAAAUGCGUAGAUAUCUGGAGGAACAUCAGUGGCGAAGGCGACUCCCUGGCCAAAGACUGACGCUCAUGUGCGAAAGUGUGGGUAGCGAACAGGAUUAGAUACCCUGGUAGUCCACACCGUAAACGCUGUCUACUAGCUGUGUGUGCCUUUAAGGCGUGCGUAGCGAAGCUAACGCGCUAAGUAGACCGCCUGGGGAGUACGGCCGCAGGUUAAAACUCAAAUGAAUUGACGGGGGCCCGCACAAGCGGUGGAGCAUGUGGUUUAAUUCGAUGCAACGCGAA
rnacentral:rRNA from 1 species